ACAGUACAAACUGAGCAGGCGAUGGACCUUUCAUAGAGGUACAUGGGGCCGGGCCACCCAGUGAGUGGCAGCAGAUUGCAAUCAUGCACAUCUGUGGGACAGUA
rnacentral:ncRNA from 17 species